rfam:Triticum aestivum genome assembly, contig: Triticum_aestivum_CS42_TGACv1_scaffold_379359_5AL
AUGGAAGUGAGGAUUCUAUCCUCAAAUGAUUGACUAUGAUUAUACUGCGCGCACAUGUAAUCCUUUAUCAAGCCACAGGUCUGAUCGAU